AGAGUGAACGCUGGCGGCAGGCCUAACACAUGCAAGUCGAACGGCAGCACAGGGGAGCUUGCUCCCUGGGUGGCGAGUGGCGGACGGGUGAGGAAUACAUCGGAAUCUGCCCAAUCGUGGGGGAUAACGUAGGGAAACUUACGCUAAUACCGCAUACGACCUUCGGGUGAAAGCGUGGGACCGCAAGGCCACGCGCGAUUGGAUGAGCCGAUGUCGGAUUAGCUUGUUGGCGGGUAAAAGCCCACCAAGGCGACGAUCCGUAGCUGGUCUGAGAGGAUGAUCAGCCACACUGGAACUGAGACACGGUCCAGACUCCGUACGGGACGGCAGCAGGUGGGGAAUAGUUGGACAAGUGGGCGCAAGCCUGGACUCCAGACCAUCGCCGCGUGUGU
rnacentral:rRNA from 1 species